rnacentral:rRNA from 1 species
AUUGAACGCUGGCGGCAUGCCUUACACAUGCAAGUCGAACGGCAGCACGGGAGCUUGCUCCUGGUGGCGAGUGGCGAACGGGUGAGUAAUACAUCGGAACGUACCCUGAAGUGGGGGAUAACGUAGCGAAAGUUACGCUAAUACCGCAUAUUCUGUGAGCAGGAAAGAGGGGGAUCGCAAGACCUCUUGCUUUAGGAGCGGCUGAUGUCGGAUUAGCUAGUUGGUGAGGUAAAGGCUCACCAAGGCGACGAUCCGUAGCGGGUCUGAGAGGAUGAUCCGCCACACUGGGACUGAGACACGGCCCAGACUCCUACGGGAGGCAGCAGUGGGGAAUUUUGGACAAUGGGCGCAAGCCUGAUCCAGCCAUGCCGCGUGAGUGAAGAAGGCC